UACGUAGGGUGCGAGCGUUGUCCGGAAUUAUUGGGCGUAAAGGGCUCGUAGGCGGCUUGUCGCGUCGACUGUGAAAUCCCGCGGCUCAACUGCGGGUCUGCAGCCGAUACGGGCAGGCUAGAGUUCGGUAGGGGAGACUGGAAUUCCUGGUGUAGCGGUGAAAUGCGCAGAUAUCAGGAGGAACACCGGUGGCGAAGGCGGGUCUCUGGGCCGAUACUGACGCUGAGGAGCGAAAGCGUGGGGAGCGAACGG
rnacentral:rRNA from 1 species